AAUGAUCCCAUCAAGAAAGGGAGGGCUACAGGGCCCUGAGAAAGGAAAGACGUCAGCAAGGCCUUCCAUGGCGUCUGUGCUCCCCCAGGCCUAGGCGGCCUGAGCUGCCCAGGGCUCCUCCCUCCGCUCAUUCAGGGUCCCACAUCUGGGCCGAGGAGGCCCUGGGAGCUCGCUCUCUGUUCUCUUGCUUGGGAGGUGAUUGCUCUCGUGGCUGUCUUUGGCUUGCCAAGCUGCUGCUGGGGACAGAGUGCCCAAGAACCACGGUGCUUCUCAGGCACUGCUGUCACUCAAAUAUGGAGCGGUGGCAGCUGAAACACCUUAUGAAAAUAGCAUGAAAAUGUGCAGUGAGCCAUAAAUAAACAGGGAGAGACAGCCAGGGAGCCGAGCUAAGCACUGCUUUGAUGUCGCAUGAACUACUGUAGUUUUAAGGACCUCGUGCUUCUGAGAGCCUCUUUGGAGUCAGCCGACACUGCCCAGUGAAAGACGGGAUCCACUUUCCCUCACUUCUCUCCUCCCGGUGACAGCUGUUGUCGCUUGACUCAGAGGAAAGCCAUUUCUCUGCUCUCGCAGGCUUUGCAGCCCUUUCCUGGCAGGAUUCCUGCAGUCAUCCCCACCCCUGGGGCGGCAGAGGACGAGGACAGCCUGGGCUGGGCCAGGCUCUCCUGAGGUUCCUGUGUCUCUUGCCAGCUGGUCCCAGGACUCUGCAGCAACAUCCUAUUUUUAAUCUCUGCUAACCUGGCUUGCUCUUGGUUGUCCCCGCUGGGAAACGGGUUCAGCUUGGCUUGUGUACCGAGGGCUCUGGAGGAGAAUGGUCCGCUUGCCAGCAGAACUCGUAGAAGGAAAGCGUGGGCAUCUUCAGUGGGGCUGAGCUGGGCGCUCCAGCUACACGGACGCAUCUACUGUCCACUGAAAGAGAAAACGACCAACCCUGAAUAGCUGAUAAAAAGGGCGUAGGUUUGAUAAGAACUCCAUAUCUUCUGUGAUCUUAAGAUUGUGUGGAUGUCACACAGCAUGGAGGAGUGUCGGAGGCUGUCUCCUUUCUGUAACUGGAUCAUCUCCCAUGGCAGGUUCCCUCUGGCUUACAGCAACAGCAGCGACCACAGUGAUGGGGAUGUGCCUGGACCUUUCACCUGGUUUCCAGGUAGAGGGGAGGGCGGCCAGCUCAGAAAGCUGAUGUAGAUGAAAACGGACAUGACCAGGCGCUGUAACGCUCUCUGCUAAAUAAACACCUAUUCCCUUGGCU